GGGGUUGAAAGCUCCGGCGGUGAAGGAUGAGCCCGCGGCCUAUCAGCUUGUUGGUGGGGUAAUGGCCUACCAAGGCGACGACGGGUAGCCGGCCUGAGAGGGCGACCGGCCACACUGGGACUGAGACACGGCCCAGACUCCUACGGGAGGCAGCAGUGGGGAAUAUUGCACAAUGGGCGAAAGCCUGAUGCAGCGACGCCGCGUGAGGGAUGACGGCCUUCGGGUUGUAAACCUCUUUCAGCAGGGAAGAAGCGCAAGUGACGGUACCUGCAGAAGAAGCGCCGGCUAACU
rnacentral:rRNA from 1 species